GUUUUGAACCUCAUAAAUUCCGAUGACUCCGACCCCAAUUGAACAAAAACAAUCGAUUAACACUAUAUGCAUCCCAAAAAUAACUAAGUAAACCCAAAUCUUAGUGCACCACAAUUAAAAAUAUAACAUUCCGUUGUACACUCAUUUUUUCAAUUUGGAGUAAAAACACAAACGACACCCCAUCUCAAACCCUAAAUCCCAACUCUGCCAUGACAGCACCUUCUUCUCUCUUCUUCUUGAUCAUUUUCUGCAAGGGAUCUUACAACAGCUAAAGCAAGUGACUUAGUUAUUCCACAACACUCCAAUCAAUACCAGUAAAAGGAUCUUUGAUCGAAUCAGAAAUUGCAGAGUUAGGGAGACUACCUUGCUUAGCUCGUAGUUGGCAUUACCAGGAAGGUCUUUAUUAAGAAAAGAAAGGCAGCCAAAGAGAACAAGUUCAUAGAAAUAGUUCUGACCUAUUGCCACUGACAAAGAAGUUACGCCCCUUCUUCUCUCUGGUGACUCAGUCUCCGAUGCUAGUCUCUAUAGAGUUAAGACGAUUGAAGCUUUGAAGGCUGAAGUUUUUGGGUUUCAUGGUAGAGGAGGUUUGGGCUGAAAAUGAUAAGGACAAAUGAAGUGUUUUAAGAAUGCAUUUUUUGACGAGAAAUGGGGUGCACUUAAUAAUUUAUGAGUGCAAAUAAUCCUACCCAAACACUCGAGAGCAUACCAUAAAACGAAGUUUAUUAUACUUUGGGAGCAUCCGAUAAAAAACAAUUUUAUUAA